rnacentral:miRNA from 1 species
GCAGACACAUUCCAGCCAAUCAGCAGCAGACCUUCCCUCCCAGACCCUCCCACCUCCUGGACAGCUCACUAAGAAUGCAGCUUCAAAAUGGAUGCGGUCCAGGAGGUGGGAGGGCCUGGGAGGGAGGGUCUGCUGCUGAUUGGCUGGCUUGUGUCUG